rnacentral:rRNA from 1 species
AAUAGAUACCCAGGUAGUCCACGCCGUAAACGAUGGAUGCUAGCCGUUGGACAGCUUGCUGUUCAGUGGCGCAGCUAACGCAUUAAGCAUCCCGCCUGGGGAGUACGGUCGCAAGAUUAAAACUCAAAGGAAUUGACGGGGACCCGCACAAGCGGUGGAGCAUGUGGUUCAAUUCGAAGCAACGCGCAGAACCUUACCAACCCUUGACAUGUCCAGUAUGGGUACCAGAGAUGGAACCCUUCAGUUCGGCUGGCUGGAACACAGGUGCUGCAUGGCUGUCGUCAGCUCGUGUCGUGAGAUGUUGGGUUAAGUCCCGCAACGAGCGCAACCCUCGCCCUUAGUUGCCAUCAUUUAGUUGGGCACUCUAGGGGACUGCCGGUGAUAAGCCGCGAGGAAGUGGGAUGACGUCAAGUCCUCAUGGCCCUUACGGGUUGGGCUACACACGUGCUACAAUGGCGGUGCAGUGGGAUGCAAGGGCGCAAGCCUACGCAAAUCUCAAAAAGCCGU